rnacentral:rRNA from 1 species
UACAGAGGUCCCAAGCGUUGUUCGGAUUCACUGGGCGUAAAGGGUGCGUAGGUGGUCGGGUAAGUCUGAUGUGAAAUCUCCGAGCUUAACUCGGAAAUGGCAUUGGAUACUAUUCGGCUGGAGGUUUGGAGGGGGGACUGGAAUUCUCGGUGUAGCAGUGAAAUGCGUGGAUAUCGAGAGGAACACCAGUGGCGAAGGCGAGUCCCUGGACAACACCUGACACUGAGGCACGAAAGCUAGGGGAGCAAACAGG